CGAUCGCGACGGAGGUGGGCGUCGCUACGGUUCGCAUGGCACUGUCUUCACUGUCCGCAGUUUUUGCUGUUUUGUUCACGUGUGUAGUGUAGGGAAGCAGUCUGCACCGCUGAAGUGCUGACGAGGGACCACGCGUGUCUUUGGCAACCGUGAGCUGCUUCUCCGUGGCCGUCUGUCGGUGGCACCAAACCGGUACGCAUGGGUUUUGUUGCACAGUUGGGAGACUGAUUCGGCUGCGUCCGCUAUGGUACUCUAGCUUGAAUGGUGGUCGCGCAGCCACACCAUCGUUGCGAGCACGUCGCUGCUAUGCACCCAGUCAAGCUUUUAUGCGAUGCUCCUGUUGGGCCUCAGCAUCUAUCCUGCGGGGGGGGGGGCAGCGAGAGACGGUGCCAGAGGCAUAAGAGAAAGGGCACACCGCUAAGCCAGUGGAUCUGCCUUCCUCGUCAUCUUCUAUUCCAUCUGCAACGACGCCCUGUUACUUCCGGGGGUAUCAGCUGCACCACCCACCCCGUGCGUCACGCUGCUAUAGCUGCGAUGUAUGUGUUCUCAAGCAUCAUCGCCACUGCACCCUACACGGCAUCGGCGAGCGUGGUCAGCACUGGCUCGUGCAAUAUCUUCUGUUCGACACUGCACAGCUGUACUCUGGUAUAGUUUUUAUGGCACUUGUAGCUCACGGCGCCACGCUGGAAAAGGACUGGAGGCGACUGCUUUUUCCGGGCUGGGCCAGUGCGUGGAGCAGCGGAGGCUCUUGACAGCUUGCAAAACAGUGCCACGCUGCGCGUUCGGCUUCACUUGGCUAUAUGGCGGGAACCAUGGGGAUCCUCAUGAUCCCCGUGACGGUCGAUACAGGCCGCUACGUGCUGCUACCGCUGAUGAACACGACAUCGGGAGAGGGGCGCACGAUGACGGGAUUCAGCUGCGCAAGCCUGGGUUGACUACCCGGCACAUGUUGGCCGUGCAGGUGUUUGCAAAAAUAGCUGAGAUGCUGUGUGCUAGUCCGUCCUUGCUGCCCGGAAGAGGAAAGCUGAAGUGUGCAGCGAUGCUAGCCAGGGUAGCAUUAACACGCAACGCUGUGUUGCGCAGGAGGUCGAUGACGUCUAUGUGCGUUUCUGCGUCUCCGUGUGCAUGCUAGUCUGUGUGUGAGCGCCUUUCUUUUUCUCUUUCGGCUCACCAUUGGUAGUAGAGGAUAGUGAGAGGCCCAGCGACGCGUCAUGUGCUGUGCAAGCACAUC
rnacentral:misc_RNA from 1 species